UAAACUUCACUGCUUUUUGAAGGUUUGACAGGUUUGGGCUUUUUGUGGGCAGAGAGAACAUUGACCAUCAUGUCAGCCAAAGGACUUCUAUAUAAAGCCAGUUAUAAAACAUUUUUAAAAAUAUAGAACCAAGAGAUAUUGCCGUGUUUGAAGAACACAUAUGCUCUCUCUGCUGAUAAUGAGAGCUUUAUAAUUUAUUACAUUUUACCCUUUGCUUUGAAUGCCAAAAAUCAUAGAGGCAAGUCUGGUGUUCAAGCACAGCAAUAACAUCUUUCUGGCUAAUUUGUGGGCUAUCUCAGUGGUGUCCACAAAAAUUACAUAGCCCCAAUCUUCUGUUUUUAGGCCCAACUUACAAAUCUUACUGUAUAUGUCCUCUUUGUAGAGAAAAACUUUAAGAUAUUAUUUGUAAAGAGUUAAAUAAUUUAAAAGUAAAAACAACAAAGUGUUCCAUAGAUAGGGUGCCGUCUAGAACCUGACAGCACUAAGAGAAACUUGGCCUGUAUUUCACAAAUUUGCUGGGGGCUGGGAGAAGUGUGACCUCUGCCUACAGGUGUAAGCCACAGACUUUGAAUAGCAUACAAAGAAAAAAAUGAGCAGUUUUCAAAUGCAGUCAUCUGUUACUUCAUCUAAAAAGCACUUUCCUUAAAUGUCUAUAAAUUUGGUCAGAGGUAGUCCUAACAAACACCAAGUUUCAAAAGGAAAACCGAUUUUGGAGUGUACAUAUUCAAAUCCUAAUUUUUCUAUUUGGUUUGUUUGAGACAUGCUUUUCUUCAAAUGAGGCCUACUCGUGUGUGCUACACCUAAAUACCAGUUGCUGGGGAUUUAGCAAGACCAUGCUUGUGAAAAUACCAGGACGGUAAAUUAGUGAAUUCCAAAGUCAGGAUUUUUGUUGGAUCUGGCACAGUCACAGGAAAGUCUGAGUUUUCUCAAGGGCAUCCCUGUCUCACCGAGGGGCACCAAGGACAGACGACCAGAAGCAAAUGGCGCAGUCACCGUCAGAGGAGAGUAAAACUCAUUCUGAAACGGUUCCAAAUGCCCAUGCCUGCUCUGUGGUUUUCAGCAAAGCGGACCUUUCCAAAAGACCUCCAACAGGGACUUCCUGGAUGUGAGAACACUAACCAAUUCUCGUUCCUCUCAUCUUUUGCUUUAUUCCUUCCUUCCAUGCUGUUAUUGCGAAAAACUGGUAGUUAAAUUCAAUUGAUUCAAAAUAUUCGGGAUCCAUAUGGCCGCCAACCCUGGAGCUGAAGCGGCGAUAGCGCCUCACUGCUGUUUUCAAGCAUUUGCCUCUCCUCCAGUCCCCAGAUGGUGGGAGUAACAUUUAAACCUCCUUUUCUCUGCCUUGUACAAUAGACCUUGGCACCAUUUCAACUGUUUACUCCGGUAAUUAACAGCUCUGAUACCACAACAAUUACAACUCCUACACUCUCACCACAAUAAUGCUAUGAAUUAGUGAGAGCUAAUGGCUGGAAGGUAGAGUGUUUCCAGACUGUGGGAUCUGUGCAUUUUUAGAAUAAAAUAAAAGGUACAAACAGCACGCUUGCAGUAGACAAUGAUUACCUAGUAAUUAGUUUACACAAAGCUUCCUAUUUAAUGGCAAAACGCUGUAAUUAACGUGUGACAGAAAAUCAAAGGGUACUUUGUAAGCAUAUUAAAAAUUAACACUGCAGGCCCAUAGCUUUAUGUACUGAUUAGAAGCAUAUUAAAUCAAUAGGACACACAAACCAACAGCUUGGGUAGCUGAUUAUUAUAGGUCCUCAGAAGGGGUACCCUGGCUUUCAUUUCACUUGGGGAGGCAAUUUUCCUUCUCCUGUCAUCUUCCUCAGGCACAGAGAAACACCUCAAACUCAACCCUGGCAGCUUCAUGAAAAUAACCACUGAACUGGAAGAAAACAUUCUAAGUCAUUCUCAGAGAUGAAGACAAAUAUGUAAAUGAUUAAGACUUUCCAAUGAUUGUGGUGACGUGCUGCUACACUAAUUAGAAAAUACACCAACUGGAACCAGAAAAUAAAGCCACUGGGUUGCAAUCUUCCGGUCAGAAUAAUCUCUACUUUGUCAAGCCUCUUUAUUCAACUCAUAGAAAGUUCAAAUAAAUGGAACUGUUUUAUAUUUCUAAAUGAUAAGAAAGCAGGCUGCUAUGAAGACUUAUUCUUUCCAAGGCACUGUCUGGGUAAAGCAUAGGCUGGGAACAACUGGAUCAACCAACAUUCUGUAUCUUCAACAGCCACAACCCCAUAUAAUGAUGGCUGAUGGACAUAGACAGCAAUAUCCUGGAAGCCUACCAGAGCCUAAAGAACCUUCUGAAUCACCAAAGAAAGAUUAAGUUGUAUGUACUUGUUCAAUGUUACCUGUAUUUUGUUAUAAUACAAUUUUAUGGUAAUAAUAACAACAAUAAUAAUAGGUAGCAUUUCUUAAAGUCUUAUUAUGUGCUAAGCACACUGCUAGCCAAUUCAUAGAAUUAUCUCAUUUACUUGUCACCACUUCCCCAUGAGACAGGUACUAAUCUCUCUUUACAGAUAGAGAAAGGGAGACUUGGAGAGCUGAAGUAAUUUGCCUAUAGUUAUCCCCCAGGGAGCAUGGGAGUCUAACCUAGGUGUCCCUGGCUAUGGAACCCCAGGAAGCCAAACUACCUCUUAGUUACCCUGAAUGACUAGCCUGUUCCAACACUCAUUCUGCUUAAAAGGCAGUUUACUAUGUCAACCUGGAAUAGGAGACUAAAAAAAUUAAAACAAAAACAAAAUAUUUGGUUGCUUAUUUUUUUAAAAAACAGGGUGUUUCUGCUUUUAGAGAUAGGAGUCUUGUUCUGUCACCCAGGCUGGAGAGUGGUGGUGCAGUCAUGACUCAUUGCAGCCUCAAACUCCUGGGCUCGAGUGAUCCUCUUUCUUCAGGCUCCUAAGUAGCUGGAACUACAGGCACACACCUAAUUUUUAAAUUUUUUGUAGAGAUAGGGUCUCACUAUAUUGCCCAGGCUGGUCUUGAACUCCUGGCCUCAAGCCAACUCCCACCUCAGCCUUCCAAAGUGUUGGGAUUACAAAAUAUUACAGGAGUGAUCGACUGCACUGGGCUAAAAACAAGGGUUUUAAAUGCUUACCAUAUUUUUAAUGCUACAUCUGAUUGUGAAGGUGGGCUACUCAAAGCUUUUUGGGAAUUUACAGGCUCACUAAAAUGAUCACGAUAGUGUAUUAAAUUGAGAAAGGCAUUGAAAAUCUGUCAUUCCCAUGAACAACCAAAGGGUGAUGUCUAAAAUUCUCUCUCAUCACCCAUGCACAUAACCAGGUAUAUGAGGCAGUUGGGUUGCAAGAGCUGAAUCCUAGAAACUCCUAGGCAGGGCUCCUCCUCUCCAGCUCUGAGGUGUGUGUAUUGAUGGCCCCCUACACCUCCCAGUUUGCUGCCUUGUGGGAAAAGGAGACCAGCUCUUCUGUUAUCUAGGAAAGGGAAGAAAUUUGAGAGCAGUGGCCUCUGUGUUCCAGGAAUAUUUGCGUUUCCCACAAAUCUCUGGAAAGCAGAAAGCUUGCCACAAGGGCAGCACACGGUAUGAGUCACAAAGGCAAGGACCUGAGGGAGAACACUUCCCAGGACUUUCAAAUAAGGUCUUUCCUAAAUGUACUUGGCUCAGUGUGGCAAAAGCACUGGGCUAGCAGCAGUCAGAUGUGGGUUCAAAGCAAGGCACAAUCAUUUAUUAGCUAUAAAUUUGGGCAAGUCACUUCUUGAGAAUAAGUUUCUUCAUCUGUAAACAGAAGUAAUACCUUCCUUAUAUCUUAAAUUGGUGUGGAAGUAAAUGAGUAAAAACCUCAGGGUUUUUCUGAGUUUAAAUGAGACAAUUCAUGUAACGUGCUUAGCACAAUACCUGGUACCCAGUAGGUACUCUGCAGUAUUUAUUGAUGAUGAUGAUGAUGAUGAUGAUGAUGAUGAUGAUGACAAAGAAAUACAAGGAAAUGUCAACACCUUAACAGUGCAUUCAUAGAUCUACAAAAUGCUUAAUCUCAGUGUUCUGGCAACCACUAAAUACAUAAAGAUAAUCUAAGACAUCAAGAUUUCAACAUAUAAAAAUAAAUAUAAAAACAAGUGAACAAUAAUCAUUUAUAUGUAGUUUCAUGACUGGAAAAAAUAAUAACCUAGAUUUUUUCUUAACCUAGAAAAUCUAGAUUAAAAAAUAAAGAUCUUGCAUUUUUGAUAUAAAACACAAAUAAUAAGGACAUGAAAAAAGAAUAUCCCUUGCUAGUAAUCAAAUAAUAGCAAUGAGAAGCUGGAUUCUUAUAUCUAAAAUAAAAGUGCAAAUAGUUCAUAAUAUCCAUUGGUGGUAAGGUUGUGGUAAAACUAGUAUUCUUAUUCUCUGCCAGUUGCUUUGGAAAUUGGUACUAUCUUUUUAGGAAUAUGGCAAUAUGUAACAAAAGCCAUAAAAUAUUCUACUCCUGGGUCUUUCUCCUCGGGAAGUAACUCAACAGAAGCAAAAAGAGGUGUAUACAAAAACCAAAUAUAAAAACAAACAAAUCUUUCCUCCCUCUUUCCUCCCACUGCCAAAAAAUGAAAGCUGGGAAUAGCCUAAAUUUCCAACUUAGUUGAAUUGUUCAAUAUAUUAGAGUUCAUCAAUAUGAGAGAAUAUUAUGCAUCUAAUAAUUGUGACGACUAUGUAUAAACAUGGAAAAUAUUUAAGAUCUGAUGUUUAACUAGCAUAUACACUAUUAUUGUAGCUAUGAGAAAGAAAUACUGCAUAUUUAGAAAUUAAUAUACAAAAAUGAAAACAACUAUGUUUGGGGACAGUGAUUAUGUACUUUUAAAUUUUUUUUAAUCUUGUUAUCUUUAAACUUUUCUAAAAAUGAUGUGAUUACAAGCAAUGGCUCUUUGGGAUCACCUAAUAAAUACCUACUAAAUUCUAGACGGGACAACGAGCUCUGCCAUCCUGCAAUGGCUCCUGUGACCUAGUUCCAGGGCCAUUCUGAAUGGACAGAGGUCUUCACAAUGGAGGUGGAGAUGCAGGGAGCUCUAUGGCAUGAAAUGGUUAAUGAUUCUCUUUUGUAAUUGUGUUUUCUGUUUGCUGCCUUAGUUCUAAAAGGAGGCAAAACAACUGUGGUUUAUUCUACCUUUUCCAGGCAUAGUUCUUCUCCUACCUUUGUGAUCCCCAAAUUAAUAUCAAAUGUCUAAUUAGUUUUUUUCUCCAUUGGUGAUCCCCAAAUUAAUAUCAAAUGUCAGACAAAGUAAAUCAAAGUACAAAUAAAGGUAAAACUGCUCUUGCAAAGGGCUAAAAUAGCAAUGUUUACUAGAAGCAUUCAAGAGCCAGUUCAAUUUCCUAUUUCUCAUUAAGUGGUAAAAUAGUAAUGCCAAGACCACAUCCCAGAAUCUCCAGGGUAACAGAGGCCCAACGAAGGGCUGCAGAGAAACUUGAAAGUAAACUGGCUUAGUUCUUUACACACAGAAAUUGUUCUACAAAGAUCUCUUGCAAAGCAGUGUCACCAGUAGCAUCACUGCCACUAAGCCAAUGUCCCAGGAAUUGAGGAAAGGAAGACACCCUUAAAGAAAAAAAUGGAAAAAAGCCACAAGGACUGGUACCACAGUAAAUGUCUGCCUGGGUCUCCCUAAACUGUCUUAGGUGAGCUUACCCAGGAAUGUUUCUCCCCUACAUGUUUGCCUUCCUUUGUUUAAGCCUUUAUUCCUCCUAAAUGAAAAUAAAUACCCCCGACUGGGGAACGUGGAGUUUGG
rnacentral:lncRNA from 1 species